UACAGAGGGUGCAAGCGUUGUUCGGAAUUAUUGGGCGUAAAGCGCGUGUAGGCGGCUUGUUAAGUCGGGUGUGAAAGCCCUCAGCUCAACUGAGGAAGGGCGCCCGAAACUGGCGAGCUUGAGUGUCGGAGAGGAGUGGCGGAACUACCCAAGACGAGGUAGAAAUUCGUAGAUGUGGGGUGGAACACCCGGUGGCGAAGGCGGCCAUCUGGACGACAACUGACGCUGAGACGCGAAAGCGUGGGUAGCAAACAGG
rnacentral:rRNA from 1 species